GAGAAGCUGUUUCAAAUUAUUCCUAUAUAAACCACGGACGAGAAUAGCUCAGCAGAUAGUUUGAAAGAAAUAUCUCGUUGUGAUUCUUCCAAAUUGCGAAAACCCAUCUUUUUGUGCGUGCUGGUAAUCGCUGCUGUUGUUGCUGCAGUUGCAACUACUGCUGUCGUUUCUGGGCUUUCCUCUUCCAGUCAAUGCGGUUGAGCCUAGUCACGACUGUAGCCACGCACAUUUUUAUGGCGUCCCAUUUAGUGAUGAUCGAGCACACAUCCUGGACAAAUCUUGUGUGGAAUGGCGGGUGUUCGAAUGCCUUCUCCAGCAUUGCUCGUUCUUCACUGAAACGUUUGCAGUGAAAGGCCACAUAAUCUGCGCUCUCGACUGUAUUCGAGCAACUCGGACAAAAGGAGCUGUCGGCCAGUUGGAAACGGUGUGGAUAUUCCAGGAAGCAGCCGUGUCUGCUGCUGUUGUUGCUGCAGUUGCAACUACUGCUGUCGUUUCUGGGCUUUCCUCUUCCAGUCAAUGCGGUUGAGCCUAGUCACGACUGUAGCCACGCACAUUUUUAUGGCGUCCCAUUUAGUGAUGAUCGAGCACACAUCCUGGACAAAUCUUGUGUGGAAUGGCGGGUGUUCGAAUGCCUUCUCCAGCAUUGCUCGUUCUUCACUGAAACGUUUGCAGUGAAAGGCCACAUAAUCUGCGCUCUCGACUGUAUUCGAGCAACUCGGACAAAAGGAGCUGUCGGCCAGUUGGAAACGGUGUGGAUAUUCCAGGAAGCAGCCGUGUCUGGUAACGAAAAAGCAGAUGAACUAGGGGGGAUCUGCUGAAGGAAAGAAUGCCAACCCUAGCAUACCGCGGUCCAAGUGUCUCGAAAAACUGUCUGGCUUAGAUGUCAACAACCUAAGAAGAUUCCUGAAGUGCACCAACUGGAUAUAGGCAAGCUGUAAAUAACCGUUAAGCAAGUUGAUAACGAGGAUCUUUGAACAAAAUGCAAUUUUCGAAUGAAUGGAAAUUAAAAAUAUAAAAAUACAUAUAAAUGUAAUGACUUACCGCCAAUUAGCAAAUACAAAGAAAUAUUUUUUCGCGCCAUUGUACUAUCACAACGAAGUAACUCUUUCAAACUGUGUACAGAACCUUUCUCGGUCCUAGUUUAUAUAGGAACAACUUCACGAGACUUUGCACAAACAAUAAAUAUUAAACAUUUCUAAACAGUAAUUAAAAUAAAAUUAUAUUAGUAAAAUAGCCAAAACUUGGAUUUGAAAGAAUUUGCUGCUACACUGAUGUAUGACGGCACAAGCAAAACUAACUUUUUUUUCUAAAAUACAAUGUUUUAAUAUUAAAGUUCACUUUACCAUGCCAACAGAGCCUGUUAAACUAUCUGCCCGAUAUAUUUGAAGAAAAUCUCCGAACACGUCAUUGGUGGACUAAGAUAAACACCUGCAGGUGUUUGGAUGUCGUGUUUGGGCAUUCCUUGAUGAACAAUGAAGGUAGAGCUUACUGGGGUCUCCUAAACUAAAUAUGCGGAUUAUCACAGAAAUAAUAUGGCUCGAUAGCAGACGUAUAAUAGAGAUGAAACUGUCAGUUGAGCCCACUUAGUUCUCCUUCUUUGUGAACUAAUAAUUUUAUUGUUAGUUUUUAUUUAAUAAAUAAUAAAUGAAUACAAAAUUGCCAGAGAGAACCGAGAAUUGCUCAACGAGAAUUUUCCGGAAGCGACUUCAUUUCUCGGCGUGAAUGCUCUUUUUUAGAAGAAAAUUAAGGAAAAAUCAUCCGAGUCAUACCAGAUGAACACAAUGGUUGUUCGAUGAUAUUUACAGGGUUCUAGACCAAAAUUUUUUGGUAUUGUUGUACAAUUUCGCAAAUAAAUGUAAGGAUAAUGAAAAGCUCCAUAGUGGCAUUCUAACCAUAUUGUUUGACGGCACUCGCCGCACGAGAGAAUUGGAUCUCGAACUAAGGUAUCUGAAAGACGGCGUUACGUCCAACAAUCGAAGUAACUUUCGAACUUUUGGACACCAAGUUCGGAGAGAGGCUGAAUUUUAAUUGAAAUCAAAAAUCUUCAAAACCCCAAAAAAAAAUUUAGUUAAGAACUCCCACCCCAAAAUCUAAAAAAUUUAUUUACCCAGGUUUCAUAAAAUAUGUGGAAAGGUCCUAACUCAUGGUUUUGUUACAUUGAAAGAGAAGGAAAAAACUGAUUACAAAUUUAACCAGAACAGAAUGCCUUUUCCAAUUCGUUGCCGCGUCGGUUUUACGUCCAAGAACUGUCACUCCAGCUGCAUUUCCCGUACAUGUCUGAGAAAUAUAUGUGCUGCUGCAGCAACAACAAGAAUAUAAUACAUAUUUUUCUAAUUUCUUUCAAUGCUUAUAUAUACUACCGUUAGUUUCUAUAGCAAUGCAAUAUUUUUAAGUGAAGUUGUAUUUAGAGAUUAAGAACUGAAUUUGUUGAAAAUAUGAGUCAAUCAAUUGCUAACGUGCCACUAGAAAAUAUGCUUUUAAAUCACGUC